rnacentral:tRNA from 1 species
UGGCUCAAUGGUUAAGAGCACUGCUUGCUCUUCCAGAGGUCCUGGGUUCAAUUCCCAG